GUGGGGAAUUUUGGACAAUGGGCGCAAGCCUGAUCCAGCAAUGCCGCGUGAGUGAAGAAGGCCUUCGGGUUGUAAAGCUCUUUUGUCAGGGAAGAAACGGUGAGAGCUAAUAUCUUUUGCUAAUGACGGUACCUGAAGAAUAAGCACCGGCUAACUACGUGCCAGCAGCCGCGGUAAUACGUAGGGUGCAAGCGUUAAUCGGAAUUACUGGGCGUAAAGCGUGCGCAGGCGGUUUUGUAAGUCUGAUGUGAAAUCCCCGGGCUCAACCUGGGAAUUGCAUUGGAGACUGCAAGGCUAGAAUCUGGCAGAGGGGGGUAGAAUUCCACGUGUAGCAGUGAAAUGCGUAGAUAUGUGGAGGAACACCGAUGGCGAAGGCAGCCCCCUGGGUCAAGAUUGACGCUCAUGCACGAAAGCGUGGGGAGCAAACAGGAUUAGAUACCCUGGUAGUCCACGCCCUAAACGAUGUCUACUAGUUGUCGGGUUUUAAUUAACUUGGUAACGCAGCUAACGCGUGAAGUAGA
rnacentral:rRNA from 1 species